CAGCAGCCGCGGUAAUACGUAGGUGGCAAGCGUUGUCCGGAAUUAUUGGGCGUAAAGGGCUCGCAGGCGGUUUCUUAAGUCUGAUGUGAAAGCCCCCGGCUCAACCGGGGAGGGUCAUUGGAAACUGGGAAACUUGAGUGCAGAAGAGGAGAGUGGAACUCCACGUGUAGCGGUGAAAUGCGUAGAGAUGUGGAGGAACACCAGUGGCGAAGGCGACUCUCUGGUCUGUAACUGACGCUGAGGAGCGAAAGCGUGGGGAGCGAACAGGAUUAGAUACCCCUGUAGUCCCUGUCUCUUAUAU
rnacentral:rRNA from 1 species